rnacentral:rRNA from 1 species
AUUGAACGCUGGCGGCAUGCCUUACACAUGCAAGUCGAACGGCAGCACGGGGGCAACCCUGGUGGCGAGUGGCGAACGGGUGAGUAACGCAUCGGAAUGUACCCAGUAGUGGGGGAUAACUAGUCGAAAGAUUAGCUAAUACCGCAUACGCACUGAGGUGGAAAGCGGGGGAUCGCAAGACCUCGCGCUAUUGGAGCAGCCGAUGUCCGAUUAGGUAGUUGGUGGGGUAAAGGCCUACCAAGCCUGCGAUCGGUAACUGGUCUGAGAGGACGACCAGUCACACUGGGACUGAGACACGGCCCAGACUCCUACGGGAGGCAGCAGUGGGGAAUUUUAGACAAUGGGCGCAAGCCUGAUCCAGCAAUGCCGCGUGUGUGAAGAAGGCCUUCGGUUGUAAAGGUACACUUUUGUCGGGAGGCGAACGGACGUUGCUAUAACCAGACGCUAAUGACGGUACCGCACGAAUAAGCAACCGGCCGUAACUACGUGCCAGCAAGCC